GGGGCUCCUGAAGAAGGAGAGAUGCCAGCCCCUGAAGAAAAGAAGAUCGUUCCAGCCUCCAAAGAAAGAAGAAAAGAAGCAUCCAGCAGCCAACCUCUGAGGAGGGAAGAGAAGCCAAAGGACUCUGUCACAGACUGGGCCUGGGUCCUGUCUCUGACAUUGCCUGGAAGGAGCACCAAUGGCCCUGGGCCUGGUGUCUUAAAGAGCUGUUUAUUGUUGGUAUAACCCAGCAACUCACAAAGAGCUGUUAAAACUGGGUGUCUCUGACACUGCCUCUGCGGGACCAGUAGUGGCCAUCACUACUGGCUAGUGCUGUCCAACAAUCCUGGUGACCAAUGGCGACCAUCACUGAUGCUACCUGGUUUGACUCAUACUGCCACAUCCUCCGUAAAAUCUUCUCUCAUGCUGCAUUGCAAGAGUGUGACCUAGGGAGCAGCCGGUGAAGUGGAAAGACCCAGCCUUUGGACACAACAUGCCUGUGUCCUGAGGAUCAAAUGGGGCCAUGUAUCUGAAGUCUCUGGCAUAUGGAAACAGUUAUGUCAAAUGGACUUUAUCUCAAAUGCCAAACAGACCAGCCAUGGAUAAAUGCCAAGUUGAGGGGCUCAGCCCAAAAAUUCCUUGGAAAUGCUGGAUAUUAAUUUGCAAUUAUUAAUUUUCCAUAGGUGCACAAUUUGGUAAGACUGGAAAGGACUGAAGAUCAGUCAUUCAGCGGAUAACAGCCAUGGAGCCAAGGGAAUGUGAAAAGCAUGAACAGGAAAGACUGAUGGAGAUCUCCGCAAAGAAGAGGAAUAAUGACAGAAUGAUUUUUAUGGACAAGCAUAACAACAAAGACUUUCAAAGUAAUAAUGUACUAACAUCAAAGGCUUGAGUGUUCAGAGGGUAUCAAAUAGAAAUUCAUGGCUAAGUUGGAAUCUGAACUAUGCCCCCAAAAUGCAGAAGACAAUAUUAAAUAUUUUUUCCUAUUGUAUU